rnacentral:rRNA from 1 species
UGUAGCCGCCGAAACAUUUAAGUAAAGGGACACUUGAGAAGUUCAUAAGCCGGGCGUUGGUAGACCCGGUCGUAAGGGUGCGAAAUUAAGUAGCUGAAGUAUGAAUGGAACAAGGCGAGAAAAGCUUUACGGAAUAUGUUAGGCGCCCGUACCGCAAACCGACACAGGUAGUCAGGAAGAGAAUUCUAAGGCCAACGGGAGAAGGGUAGUUAAGGAACUCGGCAAAUUGACCCCGUAACUUCGGAAUAAGGGGUGCUCUCUACGGAGAGCCGCAGUGAAUAGGUCCAGGCGACUGUUUAUCAAAAACACAGGUCUCUGCUAAAUCGAAAGAUGACGUAUAGGGGCUGACACCUGCCCGGUGCUGGAAGGUUAAGAGGAGGAGUGAGAGCUCCGAAUUGAAGCCCCAGUAAACGGCGGCCGUAACAAUAACGGUCCUAAGGUAGCGAAAUUCCUUGUCGGGUAAGUUCCGACCCGCACGAAUGGUGUAACGAUCUGGACACUGUCUCAAUUACCCACCCGGCGAAAUUGUAGUACCGGUGAAGAUGCCGGUUACCCGCGGCAAGACGGAAAGACCCCAUGGAGCUUUACUGUAGCCUGAUAUUGGGCUUCGGUAUUUUAUGUACAGGAUAGGCGGGAGACAAAGAACCAUAGACGCCAGUUUAUGGGGAGUCGAUGUUGGGAUACCGCUCUUAAGGUACUGGAAUUCUAACCUGCGGCCGUGAAUCCGGUCGGGGGACAUUGUCAGGUGGGCAGUUUGACUGGGGCGGUCGCCUCCAAAAAGGUAACGGAGGCGCUCAAAGGUUGGCUCAGCAUGGACGGAAACCAUGCGUAAGAGUGCAAACGCAAAAGCCAGCCUAACUGCGAGGAUGACGGUCCGAGCAGUAACGAAAGUUGGAGUUAGUGAUCCGGCGGUAUGUGAAUGGAAAUGCCGUCGCUCAACGGAUAAAAGCUACCCUGGGAUAACAGGCUGAUCUCCCCCAAGAGUCCACAUCGACGGGGAGGUUUGGCACCUCGAUGUCGGCUCAUCACAUCCUGGGGCUGAAUUCGGUCCCAAGGGUUCGGCUGUUCGCCGAUUAAAGUGGUACGCGAGCUGGGUUCAGAACGUCGUGAGACAGUUCGGUCCCUAUCUGUCGUGGGCGCAGGAUAUUUGAGGAGAGCUGUCCUUAGUACGAGAGGACCGGGAUGGACGCACCGCUGGUGCACCAGUUGUCAUGCCAAUGGCACGGCUGGGCAGCUAAGUGCGGACGGGAUAAACGCUGAAAGCAUCUAAGCGUGAAGCCCCCUCCAAGAUAAGAUAUCCCACAGCUUAAGCUGGUAAGACCCCUCAUGGACUAUGAGGUUGAUAGGCUGCAGGUGUAAGAGUAGUGAUACUUUCAGCUGGGCAGUACUAAUAGGUCGAGGGCUUGACC